AGCAAGAAGAAGAAGAAGAAGAACAACAAG
rnacentral:sRNA from 1 species